rnacentral:rRNA from 1 species
UACGUAGGUGGCAAGCGUUGUCCGGAUUUAUUGGGCGUAAAGGGAGCGCAGGCGGUGACUUAAGUCUGAUGUGAAAGCCCACGGCUCAACCGUGGAGGGUCAUUGGAAACUGGGUCACUUGAGUCACACGCAGAGGAAAGCGGAAUUCCAUGUGUAGCGGUGAAAUGCGUAGAUAUAUGGAGGACACCAGUGGCGAAA